UACAGAGGCCUCAAGCGUUGUUCGGAUUCAUUGGGCGUAAAGGGUGUGUAGGUGGCGCGCUAAGUCGGGUGUGAAAUUUCGGAGCUUAACUCCGAAACUGCAUUCGAUACUGGCGUGCUUGAGGACUGGAGAGGAGACUGGAAUUCCUGGUGUAGCGGUGAAAUGCGCAGAUAUCAGGAAGAACACCCGUGGCGAAGGCGGCUCUCUGGGACGGUACUGACGCUGAGACGCGAAAGCGUGGGGAGCGAACAGG
rnacentral:rRNA from 1 species